CCUAUUUUCUCAUUUUGGGAGCAAUUUCCAAACGUAACCAGCAGCCCCAAGUUAUACUUAGCUAAAUAAUUUCUCAUGAACUUAUGCAGCAACGUUUCACACUUAUUUUAUGAAAGCAAGUAUAGUUCUUGUUCAAAUAUCUAACAGGAGCAAGAUUGUUCUUGGCAAAUUUAAGUGAAAAGGAUGGUUGAUAGAUUCAUCAAUUAAGUCUUACGAGUUCGAGAAGUAGACGUUGGACAAUUAGAUAGAAACCCAGGUACAAACGACUGAUUUACCGAUCCGCCCGCUUAGGAUUCUAUUCUGCUGUCUUGGAGUGCUCGGUUGUCCGGAGCCUACGUCUUGGUA